GACGAACGCUGGCGGCGUGCCUAAUACAUGCAAGUAGAACGCUGAAGGAGGAGCUUGCUUCUCUGGAUGAGUUGCGAACGGGUGAGUAACGCGUAGGUAACCUGCCUGGUAGCGGGGGAUAACUACUGGAAACGAUAGCUAAUACCGCAUAACAGUAGAUAUCGCAUGAUAUCUACUUGAAAGGUGCAAUUGCAUCACUACCAGAUGGACCUGCGUUGUAUUAGCUAGUUGGUGAGGUAACGGCUCACCAAGGCGACGAUACAUAGCCGACCUGAGAGGGUGAUCGGCCACACUGGGACUGAGACACGGCCCAGACUCCUACGGGAGGCAGCAGUAGGGAAUCUUCGGCAAUGGACGGAAGUCUGACCGAGCAACGCCGCGUGAGUGAAGAAGGUUUUCGGAUCGUAAAGCUCUGUUGUAAGAGAAGAACGAGUGUGAGAGUGGAAAGUUCACACUGUGACGGUAUCUUACCAGAAAGGGACGGCUAACUACGUG
rnacentral:rRNA from 1 species